rnacentral:rRNA from 1 species
GAUGAACGCUGGCGGCGUGCCUAACACAUGCAAGUCGAACGGAGUCCAGCCUUAGAGACCUUCGGGUCAAAGAGGGGAAGACUGAGUGGCGGACGGGUGAGUAACACGUGGGCAACCUGGCUCAUAGAGGGGGAUAACAGAGAGAAAUUUCUGCUAAUACCGCAUAAGCACACACUGCCGCAUGGCAGAGUGUGAAAAGAGAAUCGCUAUGAGAUGGACCCGCGUCUGAUUAGCCAGUUGGCAGGGUAAGAGCCUACCAAAGCGACGAUCAGUAGCCGAUUUGAGAGGAUGAACGGCCACAUUGGGACUGAGACACGGCCCAAACUCCUACGGGAGGCAGCAGUGGGGGAUAUUGCACAAUGGGGGGAACCCUGAUGCAGCGACGCUGCGUGAGUGAAGAAGUAUUUCGGUAUGUAAAGCUCUAUCAGCAGGGAAGAUAAUGACAGUACCUGAAUAAGAAGCCCCGGCUAACUACGUG